UUCUUUCCUUUAUCUUUUUCACUCAAAUUGAAACCAGCAUCAGUAUCGGUUCUGGGCUUAGAUUCUUCUAUUGGGUUAGUCUCAGUACUAACUUCUUCUUCUAAAUUCAUAUUUUGGCUAGCAUCAGUACUAGCCUCUCUCAUCUGGUCUUGGUAUGGAUCUUUAAGAAUCCUACCACUUUUAAGCUCAAAAAUUAUUUUGUCAUUUUUAAAUUGAGGACUCUUAGGUGGGACAUUAGAUUGAUGACUAGGUCUAGGUGGUUGGUGGGUGG
rnacentral:lncRNA from 1 species